UGGUGGAGUGAUUUGUCUGGUUAAUUCCGUUAACGAACGAGACCUCAUCCUACUAAUUAAGUGUGAUUAAUCUUCGGAUUGGUUUAUACUUCUUAGAGGUACUGUUGGUGUACAAGCCGACGGAAGUUUGAGGCAAUAACA
rnacentral:rRNA from 1 species